GAUGAACGCUGGCGGCGUGCCUAAUACAUGCAAGUCGAGCGAACAGACGAGGAGCUUGCUCCUCUGACGUUAGCGGCGGACGGGUGAGUAACACGUGGAUAACCUACCUAUAAGACUGGGAUAACUUCGGGAAACCGGAGCUAAUACCGGAUAAUAUAUUGAACCGCAUGGUUCAAUAGUGAAAGACGGUUUUGCUGUCACUUAUAGAUGGAUCCGCGCCGCAUUAGCUAGUUGGUAAGGUAACGGCUUACCAAGGCGACGAUGCGUAGCCGACCUGAGAGGGUGAUCGGCCACACUGGAACUGAGACACGGUCCAGACUCCUACGGGAGGCAGCAGUAGGGAAUCUUCCACAAUGGGCGAAAGCCUGACGGAGCAACGCCGCGUGAGUGAUGAAGGGCUUCGGAUCGUAAAACUCUGUUAUUAGGGAAGAACAAAUGUGUAAGUAACUAUGCACGUCUUGACGGUACCUAAUCAGAAAGCCACGGCUAACUACGUG
rnacentral:rRNA from 1 species